AAGACAGCAGAAGUUGCAGCCGUCAGGCAUGGCAGCUAAUUACACAAAUCUCGUCUACAAAGGCUGCUGUCAGGAAUAAUCCCUGAGCUAGCCAGCACGUUAGCAUCGACGCUCCCUGGGUUUUACCUUUAGCCCAGAGGUUCUUGUUGUAUCAGCGCCAGCGGGACCUGGAGAGAGUUCCUGCUUUACUCUUUGUACCAGAAUCCAUCCCUG